AGUCGAACGGGAUCCAUCGGGCUUUGCUUGGUGGUGAGAGUGGCGAACGGGUGAGUAAUGCGUGACCGACCUGCCCCAUGCUCCGGAAUAGCUCCUGGAAACGGGUGGUAAUGCCGGAUGUUCCACAUGAUCGCAUGUGAUUGUGGGAAAGAUUCUAUCGGCGUGGGAUGGGGUCGCGUCCUAUCAGCUUGUUGGUGAGGUAACGGCUCACCAAGGCUUCGACGGGUAGCCGGCCUGAGAGGGCGACCGGCCACAUUGGGACUGAGAUACGGCCCAGACUCCUACGGGAGGCAGCAGUGGGGAAUAUUGCACAAUGGGCGCAAGCCUGAUGCAGCGACGCCGCGUGAGGGAUGGAGGCCUUCGGGUUGUAAACCUCUUUUGUUUGGGAGCAAGCCUUCGGGUGAGUGUACCUUUCGAAUAAGCGCCGGCUAACUACGUGCCAGCAGCCGCGGUAAUACGUAGGGCGCAAGCGUUAUCCGGAUUUAUUGGGCGUAAAGGGCUCGUAGGCGGCUCGUCGCGUCCGGUGUGAAAGUCCAUCGCUUAACGGUGGAUCUGCGCCGGGUACGGGCGGGCUGGAGUGCGGUAGGGGAGACUGGAAUUCCCGGUGUAACGGUGGAAUGUGUAGAUAUCGGGAAGAACACCGAUGGCGAAGGCAGGUCUCUGGGCCGUCACUGACGCUGAGGAGCGAAAGCGUGGGGAGCGAACAGGAUUAGAUACCCUGGUAGUCCACGCCGUAAACGGUGGACGCUGGAUGUGGGGCACGUUCCACGUGUUCCGUGUCGGAGCUAACGCGUUAAGCGUCCCGCCUGGGGAGUACGGCCGCAAGGCUAAAACUCAAAGAAAUUGACGGGGGCCCGCACAAGCGGCGGAGCAUGCGGAUUAAUUCGAUGCAACGCGAAGAACCUUACCUGGGCUUGACAUGUUCCCGACGACGCCAGAGAUGGCGUUUCCCUUCGGGGCGGGUUCACAGGUGGUGCAUGGUCCGUCGUCAGCUCGUGUCGUGAGAUGUUGGGUUAAGUCCCGCAACGAGCGCAACCCUCGCCCCGUGUUGCCAGCACGUUAUGGUGGGAACUCACGGGGGACCGCCGGGGUUAACUCGGAGGAAGGUGGGGAUGACGUCAGAUCAUCAUGCCCCUUACGUCCAGGGCUUCACGCAUGCUACAAUGGCCGGUACAGCGGGAUGCGACAUGGCGACAUGGAGCGGAUCCCUGAAAACCGGUCUCAGUUCGGAUCGGAGCCUGCAACCCGGCUCCGUGAAGGCGGAGUCGCUAGUAAUCGCGGAUCAGCAACGCCGCGGUGAAUGCGUUCCCGGGCCUUGUACACACCGCCCGUCAAGUCAUGAAAGUGGGCAGCACCCGAAGCCGGUGGCCUAACCCCUUGUGGGAUGGAGCCGUCUAAGGUGAGGCUCGUG
rnacentral:rRNA from 1 species